UAGUCCACGCUGUAAACGAUGUCGAUUUGGGGGUUGAGCUUUAAGCUUGGCGCCCGUAGCUAACGUGAUAAAUCGACCGCCUGGGGAGUACGGCCGCAAGGUUAAAACUCAAAUGAAUUGACGGGGGCCCGCACAAGCGGUGGAGCAUGUGGUUUAAUUCGAUGCAACGCGAAGAACCUUACCUACUCUUGACAUCCAGAGAACAUUCCAGAGAUGGAUUGGUGCCUUCGGGAACUCUGAGACAGGUGCUGCAUGGCUGUCGUCAGCUCGUGUUGUGAAAUGUUGGGUUAAGUCCCGCAACGAGCGCAACCCUUAUCCUUUGUUGCCAGCGAUUAGGUCGGGAACUCAAAGGAGACUGCCGGUGAUAAACCGGAGGAAGGUGGGGAUGACGUCAAGUCAUCAUGGCCCUUACGAGUAGGGCUACACACGUGCUACAAUGGCGUAUACAGAGGGAAGCGAGAGUGCGAGCUGGAGCGAAUCUCACAAAGUACGUCUAAGUCCGGAUUGGAGUCUGCAACUCGACUCCAUGAAGU
rnacentral:rRNA from 1 species